UACGUAGGCAGCAAGCGUUGUUCGGAAUUACUGGGCGUAAAGAGUGUGUAGGCGGUGCUCUAAGUUUGGUGUGAAAUCUCCCGGCUCAACUGGGAGGGUGCGCCGAAGACUGGAGUGCUAGAGGGAUGGAGAGGUAAGCGGAAUUCCUGGUGUAGCGGUGAAAUGCGUAGAUAUCAGGAGGAACACCUGUGGUGUAGACAGCUUACUGGACAUCUUCUGACGCUGAGACACGAAAGCGUGGGUAGCAAACAGG
rnacentral:rRNA from 1 species